rnacentral:rRNA from 1 species
UACAGAGGGGGCGAGCGUUAUUCGGAAUUACUGGGCGUAAAGCGUGCGUAGGCGGUCCCGCAAGUCCGCUGUGAAAGCCCCGGGCUUAACCUGGGAAUUGCAGUGGAAACUAUGGGACUUGAAUCCGGCAGAGGGGGGUGGAAUGCCACGUGUAGCAGUGAAAUGCGUAGAUAUGUGGCGGAACACCGAUGGCGAAGGCAGCCCCCUGGGCCGAGAUUGACGCUCAGGCACGAAAGCGUGGGGAG